rnacentral:rRNA from 1 species
UGCGUAGGGGUUCUGAGAGGAAGGUCCCCCACACUGGUACUGAGACACGGACCAGACUCCUACGGGAGGCAGCAGUGAGGAAUAUUGGUCAAUGGGCGCGAGCCUGAACCAGCCAAGUCGCGUGAGGGAUGACGGUCCUACGGAUUGUAAACCUCUUUUGCCGGGGAGCAAGCGUGCGUUCGUGAACGCGCGUCGAGAGUACCCGGAGAAAAAGCAUCGGCUAACUCCGUGCCAGCAGCCGCGGUAAUACGGAGGAUGCGAGCGUUAUCCGGAUUUAUUGGGUUUAAAGGGUGCGUAGGCGGGAUGCCAAGUCAGCGGUAAAAAUGCGGUGCUCAACGCCGUCGAGCCGUUGAAACUGGCGUUCUUGAGUGGGCGAGAAGUAUGCGGAAUGCGUGGUGUAGCGGUGAAAUGCAUAGAUAUCACGCAGAACUCCGAUUGCGAAGGCAGCAUACCGGCGCCCUACUGACGCUGAGGCACGAAAGCGUGGGUAUCGAACAGGAUUAGAUACCCUGGUAGUCCACGCAGUAAACGAUGAAUGCUAACUGUCCGGCUCGAAUGAGCGCUGG